UACGUAGGUGGCAAGCGUUGUCCGGAUUUACUGGGCGUAAAGAGCGCGCAGGCGGUCGGUGCAAGUCGCGUGUGAAAGCCCCCGGCUCAACUGGGGAGGGUCACGCGAUACUGCUCGACUCGAAGGCAGGAGAGGGAAGUGGAAUUCCCGGUGUAGUGGUGAAAUACGUAGAUAUCGGGAGGAACACCAGUGGCGAAGGCGACUUCCUGGCCUGUUCUUGACGCUGAGGCGCGAAAGCUAGGGUAGCAAACGGG
rnacentral:rRNA from 1 species